GACGAACGCUGGCGGCGCGCCUAACACAUGCAAGUCGAACGGAGUUAUUUCGGUUGAAGUUUUCGGAUGGAUACUGGAUUAACUUAGUGGCGAACGGGUGAGUAACGCGUGAGUAACCUGCCCUGGAGUGGGGGACAACAGUUGGAAACGACUGCUAAUACCGCAUAAGCCCACGGCCCGGCAUCGGGCUGAGGGAAAAGGAUUUAUUCGCUUCAGGAUGGACUCGCGUCCAAUUAGCUAGUUGGUGAGGUAACGGCCCACCAAGGCGACGAUUGGCAGCCGGACUGAGAGGUUGGACGGCCACAUUGGGACUGAGACACGGCCCAGACUCCUACGGGAGGCAGCAGUGGGGGAUAUUGCACAAUGGGGGAAACCCUGAUGCAGCGACGCCGCGUGGAGGAAGAAGGUUUUCGGAUUGUAAACUCCUGUCGUUAGGGACGAAUUCAUGACGGUACCUAACAAGAAAGCACCGGCUAACUACGUGCCAGCAGCCGCGGUAAAACGUAGGGUGCAAGCGUUGUCCGGAAUUACUGGGUGUAAAGGGAGCGCAGGCGGACCGGCAAGUUGGAAGUGAAAUCUAUGGGCUCAACCCAUAAAUUGCUUUCAAAACUGCUGGCCUUGAGUAGUGCAGAGGUAGGUGGAAUUCCCGGUGUAGCGGUGGAAUGCGUAGAUAUCGGGAGGAACACCAGUGGCGAAGGCGACCUACUGGGCACCAACUGACGCUGAGGCUCGAAAGYAUGGGUAGCAAACAGGAUUAGAUACCCUGGUAGUCC
rnacentral:rRNA from 1 species